GUGCGCAGGCGGUUUUGUAAGACUGUCGUGAAAUCCCCCGGGCUCAACCUGGGAAUGGCGAUGGUGACUGCAAGGCUAGAGUUUGGCAGAGGGGGGUAGAAUUCCACGUGUAGCAGUGAAAUGCGUAGAUAUGUGGAGGAACACCGAUGGCGAAGGCAGCCCCCUGGGUCAAAACUGACGCUCAUGCAACGAAAGCGGUGGGGAGACAAACAGGAUUAGACUACCCCGGU
rnacentral:rRNA from 1 species